rnacentral:tRNA from 1 species
GGGCCUGUAGCUCAGAGGAUUAGAGCACGUGGCUACGAACCACGGUAUCGGGGGUUGAAUCACUCCUCGCCCA